AAGUUCAAAAAGAAAUUUUUUGUUCCUUCACGUUAAGACUAACCCUUCUUUUUUUUUUCUCUUCAGAUGUUAUUCAGCGCACUGGAAAUCAUCUCCCCAAGAGAUCAAUACAUCGCUUCAGUAUGCUGAUUGAGAUAGCCUUCAAAAAUACACGGAAGGAAAUAAAAGCCACGGACAGCUAGCAAAUCCAGCUAAGCCACGAAUGAGUCAACAUGUCCGUUAAGAUGCAUUGACUUUCUAUCCAUUUACAUUUAGAGUUAUCAGUGUAUUAUAUGCCCAAGUAUAGCAGAAGUACUUCCUAAGCCCAGUUGCCAAUAUUUUAGUUUAUUUUAUCCUAUCAGAAUGGACUAAAUGAACAAAAAGGAUCUUUCCAAUCAAGUCUGUGUUCUAAGAAUCUUUUCAGAAUCGGAUGGCUUUACACUCAAUAAAAAGCAAAGCUGGUGUGAAGAAAGUGACAAGAUGGCAGGUUUGUAGUAGUUUCUUAAUACUAUUAUUAUUUUUUAAAAGCAUAUUGUAUUUAUAAAGUGCUUUUACUUCUAGUGAUGUGUUUUUAUAAUCAAGAAGGGGUUAAAUUAUAUGUGAUUUGCACUUGAUGUGUUUAGCUACAAAAAAUACCAAGAUCUGAAUGAUUCAGUGCAGGUGCGCUUUAUGUUCACAUCUACAGGUUUUUUUUCUAUUCUCUUUCUUAGUAAAGU
rnacentral:lncRNA from 1 species